rnacentral:snoRNA from 1 species
AAACCAUGGUGGGGGCACUGAGACUGAUAACUUUUGAAGCGCCCCAGGCUUCACAAAGCGUUUCUCCAUUCUUCUGAGUGAACCCAAAGAUCUCCUUGCGCAGACG